rnacentral:rRNA from 1 species
AACACGUGAGAAACCUGCCCCGAAGACCCGGGAUAGCCCAUGGAAACGUGGAUUAAUACCGGAUACCCUCGCGGGACCGCAUGAUUCUGGCAGGAAAGGCUCCGGCGCUUUGGGAUGGACUCGCGGCCGUAUCAGCUUGUUGGUGAGGUAACGGCUCACCAAGGCACUGACGGGUAGCUGGUCUGAGAGGACGAUCAGCCACACUGGGACUGAGACACGGCCCAGACUCCUACGGGAGGCAGCAGCAGGGAAUAUUGCACAAUGGGCGCAAGCCUGAUGCAGCGACGCCGCGUGAGGGAUGAAGGCCUUCGGGUUGUAAACCUCUUUCAGUGGGGAAGAAGCGCAAGUGACGGUACCCACACAAGAAGGCCCGGCCAACUACGUG